rnacentral:rRNA from 1 species
UGUUUCGGCUAGGGGGCCAUCCCGGCUUACCAACCCGAUGCAAACUGCGAAUACCGGAGAAUGUUAUCACGGGAGACACACGGCGGGUGCUAACGUCCGUCGUGAAGAGGGAAACAACCCAGACCGCCAGCUAAGGUCCCAAAGUCAUGGUUAAGUGGGAAACGAUGUGGGAAGGCCCAGACAGCCAGGAUGUUGGCUUAGAAGCAGCCAUCAUUUAAAGAAAGCGUAAUAGCUCACUGGUCGAGUCGGCCUGCGCGGAAGAUGUAACGGGGCUAAACCAUGCACCGAAGCUGCGGCAGCGACACUCAGGUGUUGUUGGGUAGGGGAGCGUUCUGUAAGCCUGCGAAGGUGGCCUGUGAGGGUUGCUGGAGGUAUCAGAAGUGCGAAUGCUGACAUAAGUAACGAUAAAGCGGGUGAAAAGCCCGCUCGCCGGAAGACCAAGGGUUCCUGUCCAACGUUAAUCGGGGCAGGGUGAGUCGACCCCUAAGGCGAGGCCGAAAGGCGUAGUCGAUGGGAAACGGGUUAAUAUUCCCGUACUUGGUGUUACUGCGAAGGGGGGACGGAGAAGGCUAUGUUGGCCGGGCGACGGUUGUCCCGGUUUAAGCGU